GCUCCCCACUUACCCCCCCCGCAACUGCUCCCGGGUACCGGUGCCCCCUCGGCGUCGCGGCGAGGAGCCGUCCGAGGUGUAACACACGAACAAAACUCGUCCCUCUGUCCCCGCCGUCGACCGCUGCCCCCUCCGUCCCGUCACGCAGCCCUGAGGGGCGCCUCCGCCGUGAGCCCCCCGCCGCCGGGCCCGCAGGAGCCCCCCGCCGCGGCCCUCAGCCCCUGAGGCGGGGGCUCGCUGCCUCCUGCCCGGCGGGUUGCGGCCCGGGGGCCCGGGGCGAGCACCGAGCGCCUGGAAGGGCUGAGCAAAACCCCCGCCUGAGAGCCAGUGGUUAACGCUGUUCCGUAACUAUCUCGACAGGACGCUCUAAAUCCCUAACUCUUUCUGCGGGAGAGUGGAAGAGGUAAAGGCUGCAGAAGUAAAAAAGGCUAUUUCCUGUCGAUUGGCUGCUGAUAACUGUAUGGCUGAAGUGGAUGUUGAAGAAAUUGUUUAAAGAUUUAAAAUGGCUUCUCAUUGGAAUCACUUGGAACAAAUGGAUGACACUUGGAAAAUCUGCUUGAUAGCAAUCUGUAGAGGUUUCUUGAAAUGGUACAACUUUGAAGGUGUUUGGAUUUUCAUGAGGGUAAACAAGAGAGAGAAUCAUUCUUGGCAACUAUUUUUGUAAGGUAGAACUACUGAUCCAGUAACUCACAUGGAACUCUGAUAGAAGCCUCCUGGCCCUAAAUUCUCAAUUUUAUAUACCUGAAAGAGAUACUAAAACUAUUAUUUCAGGUCAGACAAUGGAACACAAGGACAAAGAAAAAAUACGACAGUAUUGAUACGUGAGCAAAGGUCAACCAACCAGAGAGAAGCAGAUACCACUACUGGAUGGAGAAAGUUCCCUAACAUGGUGGGACUCUCAUGAUGAAAGGCUUGUUCCUGCUUUGUAACAUGCGACCAUGUCACUGACUCCUGUAAAAUCAGUCGCCAUGAUUCAGCACACGCAGAGAGUCAGCGUGAGGUGCCCUGCCGUGUGCAGGAUGGCUGCUGGUUGGCUUCAUCAGCACAGUCCUAAGUCUCUAACUUACAUAAAUGGUGGGGAGAGGAAAUUCUAUUUUAAAGGUUUCGCUUUGUUCCUUGUUUAUCCUACUUUUUUUUUUCUUUCUUUUUUUUUUUUUUUUCUCUCUUUUGGGGAGGGGGAAGGGGAAAGGAAGGGGAGAAGAAUAGCGGAAUUAAUAGAACGUGGUAUAUCAGUAAAAUUUCAGAGAUUGCUAUAAAUACCUAGAGUAGGAAGAAGGUGAGUUGUUAGCGGUGUGACUUGUUUGUGUCACUUUGUUAGAACAUUAGCGGUAUCUUAAUAUAGAUUUCUUUUUUGGCUUCUAAUGAUACAUUCCUUUCACUGGGGAGGGGAUGGGUAAAAUUUGCUACUGCUGUUUUUCUGGCAUUAACUGCAACUCCCUUCUGCUGCUCCCUGCAGCUCUCCCUGGCACGGCCCUGGGCCCUCUAGUGGACCUGCGCUGCUUGCAGCGGCGUCUCUGCCAAAACACUGAUUCUGUUGCUAUGUUAUUUGUUAGAGCUACGCUAUUGUACGUGAAAAUCAAUGUAGACAACGUUGCUGAAAAGUGAAUCUGAGAUUCAUACGUUUUGUAAAACGGCGUUUAUUUCUUGCACAAAAAGUGCCUAACCUCGGCUGUAGGCAGCAGGCCAUCUGGGGCCGCAGUGGUCCUGCCAGUGCCCUUACUCAAGUAAUCUGUGUGCUCCACAGUGUCAGGCUGUGCCUACACAAUCAAUUACAUUUCAGUAGUAUUUGAACAUUGUCACUUCAAAAUAUCUGUUAUUUACCUUUUUCCCAGUGAUCCACUUGUUUUACUGUUUGUGUGUGCUAUUGUCUAAAAUUUAAGCAUCUUUCAAAAUAUAAAAAUUACAAAUAUAUAUAUAUUUGAAGAAUAAAUGCAAUAGACUUGUUAGGUGAUUUUGAUACCUUAACAGCAGCUCUGUGCUGUGGUCAUAUAUUUUUGGACAUCAGUGACUAUACAGAUGAAUCAAGUAUACAAGAAUAUAAUUUGUAAUCUUAGUGGACUUGUAUUUUUGUAGUCUUUCCUUUGAGAUGUGGGGUCUGGUCACCUGGGAGAACA